AUUGAACGCUAGCGGGAUGCUUUACACAUGCAAGUCGAACGAGUGGCGGACGGGUGAGUAAUAUAUCGGAACGUGCCCGAUAGCGGGGGAUAACUACUGGAAAUGGUGGCUAAUACCACAUACUAUUGGAGCGGCCCAUAUGGGAUUAGCUAGUUGGUGGGGUAAAGGCUCACCAAGGCAACGAUCCGUAGCUGGUUUGAGAGGACGACCAGCCAAACUGGGACUGAGACACGGUCCAGACUCCUACGGGAGGCAGCAGUGGGGAAUUUUGGACAAUGGGGGAAAGCCUGAUCCAGCCAUCCCGCGUGUAUGAAGAAGGCCCUAGGGUUGUAAAGUACUUUCAGUCGGGAGGCGUUACCGACAGAAGAAGCACCGGCUAACUCCGUGCCAGCCGCCGCGGUAAUAC
rnacentral:rRNA from 1 species